CCUACGGGAGGCUGCAGUGGGGAAUAUUGGACAAUGGGGGGAAUCCUGAUCCAGCCAUGCCGCGUGUGUGAAGAAGGCCCUCGGGUUGUAAAGCACUUUCAGUGAGGAAGAACGCCUGGUGGUUAAUACCCAUCAGGAAAGACAUCACUCACAGAAGAAGCACCGGCUAACUCCGUGCCAGCAGCCGCGGUAAUACGGAGGGUGCGAGCGUUAAUCGGAAUUACUGGGCGUAAAGCGCGCGUAGGUGGCUUGAUAAGCCGGUUGUGAAAGCCCCGGGCUCAACCUGGGAACGGCAUCCGGAACUGUCAAGCUAGAGUGCAGGAGAGGAAGGUAGAAUUCCCGGUGUAGCGGUGAAAUGCGUAGAGAUCGGGAGGAAUACCAGUGGCGAAGGCGGCCUUCUGGACUGACACUGACACUGAGGUGCGAAAGCGUGGGUAGCAAACAGGAUUAGAUACCCUAGUAGUC
rnacentral:rRNA from 1 species